CAAUUUUGGCACAUAGUUCUAAGGGAUAUGUUGCCAGCAACUAUUUAGAGUUGGUGGUUAAUGUUUCAAGAAUCAAGAAUCUCAAUUGGGCGCGAUUCACAUUAGUUCAUUUGUUGGACAACCUGGUUGAAUUCAAGAAGAACAGAAGAACAGGACAUGCCGGAAAUUUGGCACUAUUCUAGGUUUGGUUUUUUGAGCAUUUUCAAGCAUCUGGUGAUGGCUUAGAUUAUGCACUGCAUCAACAUCCGUUGAUAAGAAACUGGAAUGAAGACAAAGUUUUGAAGCGAGCACGCAUUCAAGCUAUAAAGAAAUUUGGGGCUGAAAAGGUGAUCGUGGAAUUGGAACCGAAUGAGUCCAAAGUGCACACCGGUAAUGAUAAUUUUUACCAGGAUAUUGGUGAUGACCAAUAUAAUGAGGGAAUGAGAUAUGAAAAAUCUGAAAAUAAGGAUUGGAAUGAGAAUGAAGAUGUAAAUCAAGAAGACCAGCGUGAUGCUAUGGAGGAUGACGAAAUCAAGAUAAAGGAAUCAAUGGAAGCAAUGAAAUCCCUAUUUGUAAGGUUCCCGGAGUUGCAUACGGUUGUGCAGGUUAUAAAUUCAAGUUGCUCUGUUAUUUAUAAUACAUGUAUGUGAAUGGUUAGUAUAAAGCUGCUUACGUCAUUUGCAUUGAAAAGAUUAGAUGGUUGUCAAGCUAUUUGAUGGAACUAGAAGUAAUAGGUCCACAAAGUGUGAGGGAAAGCAAUGUGAUUCAUCGGGUACUAGCAAAUCGUGAGAACCGAAUUCCAAUGUUCAAAAGGAAAGUGAGUAGGCAAGUCAUGCAAACAGUAUGGAUAAAUCAGAGAAAGAAAAACCAUAUCCGGAGCAGGGUACUGCUGAUGAAAAGGAGGUUUCUUCAUCCAACUUAUCUUCAGGAGCAAAGAGGAAAAUUGAUUUUGUUUUGAGUCCUACACUGGUUGAAAAGGUGAAAACCAGAAUCAAUAGGCAACCAAGCAAAGUCUGCAAGUCCCCGUACAUAGGCACAAAGCAAAAUAGGGUAUCUAAAACAAAAACUAAUUGUCCAAAUGCUGGCGACAUUACAAAAGGACUAGAGUUAAGUGACUUGGAACUUCACGCCAUUAAAUAUAUUUUGGAGGAAUUUGCGACUGAACCAAAUAAAAGUCUAGUAUGCAUAGGUGGAAUUGAGCUGGGUGCUAAUCAAUUGAAGUGUCUAGUAACACGUGUGAGAGAGGAUGCAGGAGACAAAUGGUUAUGUUCUGGGAUAAUAGACUCCUAUGCAACUAUAUUCAACUCUGAUUGGAAAAAAGAUACUAACGAGAUAAAGCAUGCACUUUUAGAUGUCAAUUGUCAGUGGUUACGAAUGAUUGGAAAAGCUUGGGUACAAUCUGGUGUACCUUGGUGGAGGUUGUGCCAUAAGUCUGCUCAGGAAUUGGUUGGAGCUGAUAUGGUCUUCAUUCCCAUGAAUACUACAAGAACUCACUGUGGCUCUGUGUUCUGUACCUGCUAGAAAUGAAAUUCAAGUUCUCGAUUCUUUCAAUAGGACCAUAAAUUAUGCAGAAGAAUUAGUCGAAUUGCUACCAUUCAGAGAUGUGGAAUUCAUUCAAUUUUGCAAGCAAUUUUGGCAUCAUCUGACAAGUUGGAGUCAAGGUGGAGUAACUAUGACAUUUUACAAUGGGAUGUUGUUGUGAAGAAAAACAUUCCACGGCAACAUGAUGCGUGCUCAUGCGGGAUUUUUACAAUAAAAUAUAUGCAAUUUUGGAAUGGGAGUGAAAUAACAAAUCCAUUCACGCAAAAGGAUAUGGAGAAAUUUAGGAAGAAGAUGCCAGCUGAGUUGAUCUUGUCGCCCUUGAAUGAGCUUAAUACCAGCAAAGAGCAUGUACUUGCCACCCAGAAUUUUAGUUGAUCUCUAUUUUUGAAACCAUCAGGUUUUUUUAAAAUA